ensembl:lncRNA
CCAGGAGACAACGGCAUAAAUUGCCUAAGGCACACUCUGUUACUUUGAGCCUUACCCAGUAGAUACAUUUCAAAACUAAUGACAUUUAAAUCACUGAUGUUCCAGAGAAAGGACUAUGAACUCUGCUGCUUUGUGUAAGGGAGGAAGAAGGGGACAAAAUGGCAGGGCUGAGCCAGUGGUCCAGGGGACCAUCCUUGAGUCGUGCCAUGAUGACAGGCAAGGAGACAGCUCAUACGGGCAGAUCUCAAAGACCAUGACACAGGGGGUUCAGAACCAGGAAUGCGGAGAAUACAGCUGAGGUGGAAAGGAGAUGCUUGGAGUCCAUAUUGGCCAGCGGGAAUGGCAGCUCACUGUGACUGCUGAGAGCAGAGCUCUGCAUCCUGGUGAAUAAGGUUGUCCUCUGUAGGGCUGGGCUCCUUCCUCUUCUGAGGAAGGAAGGCAGGAGAAGCCAGGGCCUUUUGCUGGCUUGAAAGACAGUAUGCAAAAUUUCAGGUGAAAUAGUUGAAAUCGAAAGGAUUUUGCUUGCUUAUAAUUUCUUGUUUAUUUCUAGCCUUCUGUGUUUUUGAAAAUUGGCGUUUUUUUCAGAGCAUUAGAAAUUAGUAAUUCCAGCUUUCUGGUCGCUCUCCAACUUUCCAUCAGCCACCCUUCUCUGAGCAGGCCAGCAGACUCACUCGCGCAUGGAGGUAGCAAGUGAAGAUAAAAUGUCCCCGUGCAGCCUAAGUAGCAUUGUGGGGCUGCUUUACAAGGAGCAAGUGAGAGUCCCUGAUCGAGCAGAAGAGAAUCAGGUCCCACACCUAUAGCUAGGGAGCCACACUCCAUGCUAGGAGAAACUAAGGAUGCAUUCAAAAGGACCUGACCAUACCUCAUCCUUCUAUGUUAUCAGGAAAAGUGUAGCCAAUUCUCUCUGGUGACCAGAGAAACACAGGUCCUUUCUGUUUGCACAUUAUUCUGUUUUUGGCGCGUGUUACAAUUUCAUUUAAUUCUAUUUUAAACAGGUAGUCUGACAUUCCUUUUCCUGCCGGAGUUCCAUAUUUGGACAGAAAUAGCCCACAACACAGUAGUGUAACACAUAGUCGUGGGGUGGGACAUACAGAUGAGAUGAUUUCCAGGUGAAGGAUGUUGGUGCAGAAAUUUGAAAUGUCCUCAUAAGGGACAAGGGCUCUGAAACUACAGUUUCCACAGAAUAUUUAACAAUCCAUGCUCUGAGACUGAAUAAUUAAAUUAAAAAAAAAGUUUUUUUUUUUUAAAUAACUUAAGGCUAGUGUGGGUCAAAACUUGGCAUUUUCUUUCUGUGGGAAAUCCUGACAUUUUCAGACAGUUUUCUUUCUGGAUUGGAAUUAAACUUAAAAAAGUUUUACCUUUCCUGUGGAAAUGAAAUUCUGAAAAUAUUUUGUUCUGGGAAGCUCAGAACAUUUUUUUUUCUUCACUUUUUCUGAAACCAAACGCAGCAGACAUAUGCUCACUGUGGGGGGAUUGUCUUCUCAGGUGGCAGCCAAGUCUGAAGUGCAAUGGUGUCAGAUGUGACCCCACAGCAUCCCCUGGACUGCUCCUGUGAUGUGUGGUGCAUAAGAACCCCUCAGUCUAGUUUUUUCUUGGGCCUCCACCCCUGCUAUGUGUCCUGCAUUGCAGCAGAGCCUGGGAGCUGUGGCUCUUGAUCCAGAGUUGUGCUGCCCAUCAGGUGCUGCCAGGGGACACUGAGCCUGCAAGACUGCCAAGAAAGCUUCAGUCUGGAGAUGGUAAAAGUUUCCAGAAUCAAAAAUAUUUUCAUGAAACGUUGAUUUUGACAUAUCAUCAUUAAGCAAUAGGACAAAAGGAAACUGCCUCAAGUUGCACCAGGGGAGGUUUAGAUUGGAUAUUAGGAAAAAUUUCUUCACUGAAAGGGUGGUCAAGCAUUGGAACAGGCUGCCCAGUUAGGUGGCGGAAUCACUAUCCCUGGAAGUGUUUAAAAAACAUGUAGAUGCGGUGCUUAGGGAUGUGGUUUAGUGGUGGACUUGGCAGUCCUGGGUUAACAGUUGGACUUGAUAAUAUUAAAGGUCUUUUCCAACCUUUUCUAUGAUUCUAUGAUCAAUCAAUUACCAAUUCCUGACUAGUUAGGAACUAUGUUGGUUUGGUGGGCAGUGAAGCACAUCAUGGGUCUUGAGCUCUCGUAGUGGUUCUCAUACCAGUCACCAGUGGGAGAAGGGAGAUAUUUCAAAGAGACUAAUCCAUGCAGGAAGUAAGAAUGAGCUUCAAAAGUCUGAGAUGAUCCUAUAUAUGAGCCCAGGGAAUGUCACUGAGGGAAGUAUGAGCGUGCAGCUCAUAUGGGACGGGAGAAGGGGUUAAGAUCUAAAACAUAGUCUGGGGCAGCCACAUUAGCAUGUAGGUUAUUUAUGCUGGUUAGGCAUCUACAACUUUUCACUGUUCUAGAACUCACCUCCUUUUGAAAAUGGGAUUUGGACUCAUAAGUUAUCUGGGCAGUUUUAAUAGUUUUAUCUCAAAUUAAUAACUCUUCCAGGAGUAACUUUGGUAUUUGCACAUUCCCUGUUUUACAGUGGAUAUUAUUUAUCCCCACAUGUCAGUUCACAAGGACAGACCAUUCAGCAAAAGAUGUGGCUUAUUAUAUAGCAGUGAUGGAUGGUUUCUUUAUAGAAACCACUUGCAUGUGAGAGAACAACUGUUGUGUAUUAAAUAGGUUCUCUGUAUUGUGCAUAGAGUUCAUACCUGCAAUUGAAGUAAAAAUCCAAAGGGAGAGGGAAAGAACAAGCAACCUCAUGAAAUUACAUGAGAUACCCACAUAAAUACCAAAGAAUACACCAUGUUUUUUGUUAUUACAGUUAUCACCUAUGGAAGUCAUGAUGAUGUGGUGCCUGAGAAAGUUGGCAAAUGGGUUGGUGUGCCUGGGACUUUUUGUUUCUGCUCCAUGUGCCUGGGACUUUUUGUUCCUGUACUAAAGAAGGUGGAUGAAAACUCUGCAUAUUGAGAAGCUAGUUAUUCAUAAAGCAUUAAUAGCUGGAGAGGUGCCAGAUCAUUAUUGUUUUUUCUGGAAAGGGUAUUAGGUAUUAUUCAACAAGAUAAGAUUUUCUUUCCAUGUGUCCAUACCAGCUCAAUAUUGGAAGAUGAAACACAUACCUAGGGGAUUACAUGCCCAGAAAACACCUUUUCCAGGAAAAUGAGAUGAGUGAAUCACUUCAGACAAAAAUGUGUUGAAAUGUUAAACAAGUGCUCUCUUGAUUUAAUGUUCUUGUUAAUUGUAAAAAAAGCUCUAUGAAAAUGGAGACAAGUUGAGACUGAUAUUGCUUUAUAGAACUAUUAUUUUUAAGGGAAACAAUGAAACUGGGCAUAUGACCUCCAACUAUUCUGAAAA